rnacentral:tRNA from 1 species
UCCUUGGUGGUCCAGUGGUUAGAACUUGGCGCUUUCACUGCUAUGGCCUGGGUUUGAUCCCUGGUCAGGAAA